rnacentral:rRNA from 1 species
GACGUAGGGUGCGAGCGUUGUCCGGAUUUAUCGGGCGUAAAGAGCUCGUAGGCGGCUCGUCGCGUCGGCUGUGAAAACCCGUGGCUUAACUGCGGGCUUGCAGCUGAUACGGGCGGGCUAGAGUUCGGUAGGGGAGACUGGAAUUCCUGGUGUAGCGGUGAAAUGCGCAGAUAUCAGGAGGAACACCGGUGGCGAAGGCGGGUCUCUGGGCCGAUACUGACGCUGAGGAGCGAAAGCGUGGGGAGCGAACAGG